UACGUAGGGGGCAAGCGUUGUCCGGAUUUAUUGGGCGUAAAGAGCGUGUAGGCGGCUAGAUAGGUCCGUUGUGAAAACUCGAGGCUCAACCUCGAGACGUCGAUGGAAAACAUCUGGCUAGAGUCCGGGAGAGGAGAGUGGAAUUCCUGGUGUAGCGGUGAAAUGCGCAGAUAUCAGGAAGAACACCCGUGGCGAAGGCGGCUCUCUGGUACGUGACUGACGCUGAGACGCGAAAGCGUGGGGAGCAAACAGG
rnacentral:rRNA from 1 species